GCCAGGCGUAGUGGUGUGUGCCUAUAGUCCCAGCUACUUAGGAGGCUGAGGCAGAAGGAUCACUUGAGCCCAGGAGAUUGAGGCUGCAGUGAGCCAUGAUUGUACCAUUGCACCCUAGCCUGGGUGACAUAGUGAGAUCCUGUCUCCA
rnacentral:SRP_RNA from 1 species